AACGAACGCUGGCGGCAGGCUUAACACAUGCAAGUCGAGCGCCCCGCAAGAGGAGCGGCAGACGGGUGAGUAACGCGUGGGAAUCUACCCAUCUCUACGGAAUAACGCAUGGAAACGUGUGCUAAUACCGUAUACGUCCUUCGGGAGAAAGAUUUAUCGGAGAUGGAUGAGCCCGCGUUGGAUUAGCUAGUUGGUGGGGUAAAGGCCUACCAAGGCGACGAUCCAUAGCUGGUCUGAGAGGAUGAUCAGCCACACUGGGACUGAGACACGGCCCAGACUCCUACGGGAGGCAGCAGUGGGGAAUAUUGGACAAUGGCGCAAGCCUGAUCCAGCCAUGCCGCGUGAGUGAUGAAGGCCCUAGGGUUGUAAAGCUCUUUCACCGGUGAAGAUAAUGACGGUAACCGGAGAAGAAGCCCCGGCUAACUUCGUGCCAGCCGCCGCAGUAAUAC
rnacentral:rRNA from 1 species